rnacentral:rRNA from 1 species
GGGGAAUUUUGGACAAUGGGCGCAAGCCUGAUCCAGCCAUUCCGCGUGCAGGAUGAAGGCCUUCGGGUUGUAAACUGCUUUUGUACGGAACGAAACGGCCUUUUCUAAUACAAGAGGCUAAUGACGGUACCGUAAGAAUAAGCACCGGCUAACUACGUGCCAGCAGCCGCGGUAAUACGUAGGGUGCAAGCGUUAAUCGGAAUUACUGGGCGUAAAGCGUGCGCAGGCGGUUAUGUAAGACAGUUGUGAAAUCCCCGGGCUCAACCUGGGAACUGCAUCUGUGACUACAUAGCUAGAGUACGGCAGAGGGGGAAGGAAUUCCGCGUGUAGCAGUGAAAUGCGUAGAUAUGCGGAGGAACACCGAUGGCGAAGGCAAUCCCCUGGGCCUGUACUGACGCUCAUGCACGAAAGCGUGGGGAGCAAAC